GCCUAACCAUAACACAACAAUAAAAUCACCUAUUGUUCGCCAAAUAACUACGAGUAAAAACUUAAAAUUUAAAAGACUUGACGGUACUUCACACCAACCUAGAGGAGCCUGUUCAAUAACCGAUACUCCACGAUUAACCCGACCCCCCCUAGCCCACAGUCUAUAUACCGCCGUCGCCAGCCUACCUUGUGAAAGAAACAAAGUAAGCCAAAUAGCUACACACUAACACGACAGGUCGAGGUGUAACUAAUGGGGGGGAUCAAAAUGGGCUACAUUUUCUAAUACAGAAAACACGGAUAAACCAUGAAAAAGAAACUGAAGGAGGAUUUAGCAGUAUGCUAGGAACAAAAUACCUGGCCGAAAUUUGCAAUGAAGUGCGUACACACCGCCCGUCAUCCCUGUUAAUAAACUAAAACCAUUCAUAAACAACAAACAAUCUUAAAGCAGGGCAAGUCGUAACAUGGUAAGCGUACUGGAAAGUGUGCUUAGAAA
rnacentral:rRNA from 1 species